UAGGACUCAUUAUUAGAAAUAAACCAACUUUCGGCUAACUUUGGUACUUAAGAGUUUUGAAAUUGCUGAAAUGGAAGAAAAAAAGUCAAAAACAUAAUGCGACAACUUCCAUCAAUUCAUGCAUGAAACUUUUCCCCAUUACUUUAUGGGCAGUAAAUGAGUUCCCAGUCAUUCUGAACAGAGAGUCUGCUUCGCAGUGUGCUACAAAUGAUUCACAGCCCCAGUGGUGCUAAUUAGAGACAGGAUGUGCUUUGGGACUACUUUAAGUGAUGAUGAAGGGAGAGAUGAUGCACAUCGAGCUCACCUUUACAGCACCUAGAUAUUCUCAUUUUCCAGCUGAACUCUCCCUCAUUGAUUUAGCAUUAUUUCAAAUUGCAGAAAGAGCUUUUGAAGCCCAUAGAAAACGAAUCGCGUAAUUAUGUUGUUUUGCAGCAGGAAUAAACAAUGGGUUUCAUUAUACAUGCACAAUUUACAAGAAUAAGCGGGUGACCCGUAGUGAGCUGUCUGUCGCUUGUUAUCGUCAAUUGCUGCGGUAUUGUUAGCUCGUUUUCAGAGCGAAUCUGAGUGCAAUUGUAUACGCCGUCAGCCAUCAGCUACUAGAGGAAGCCUGGUCCGAUCAGUCAAUAAUUCGUUCAUACGUGAUUCGCUGCGGAUCAAAACUCUCAGGGCUUCAUGUAGGUUAAGACCCAAGUGGAGACGCACAUUGAUUUCGGAGUGAAUGCGAAGAGCGGCGUUAUCGACUGUUGUGGCAUGAACCUCAGUCCAUUAGUUCCACAAAUGAAGGUCCGAGACAUUGCUGCGAUCAAUCUGUAAUGUGUUCUUACAUCUCAAAUAAGACCUAUUAUUACAUUGGCUGAAAGUGAAAAGCAUUUUGUGGUCCGUGCAUUGUUUCCAGUCUUUGUUGUCUCUCAGCGUUGGCUAAAACACAGCAGAGAAAAGCAGAAUAUUCAUGAGAAAUACACAGGACAGUCAAUGGAAGUGCAACACUCAGAGGACUCAGCCGGCAGCUCGGAUACUUUCAGCGAGUCAAGAGAAAGUCAUUACUGUUCGGCAUGCCAUUCACGUGCCACCUCGACUCAGAUGUCUAAACUGAAGUGGGGCAGUUUGGAGAGAAUGAAUUCUGACAAACAUGCAAUUGGACGACCAUAAAUACGCGCAAAAGUGACACGGCCCGAUUUCCUUUUAGAAGUCCUACCGAUGACCAUGAAUGCAUUGGCCUUUACUGAGUGUUUUAUGCACCUUGCUUUAUGGCCCCAUGUAUAUUGAUACAGUGAUGUAAAAUUGAUAUGUUGAGCUCAUUAGGAGGAACUGGUGUCUUGCAUCAACCUCCUCCGAGGGCACUGAAGACUCUCAAUAGAGUGUUUAAUGAAUAUUAAACUGUAUGUUUGGUCUCAUAAAAAUGCAAUCACACUGUCAUCAAAGAAACUUUCUGGUGGAAUGAAUGUAAAUCAUGCAGGUAAUUAUGUGUGGAUUGCAGAGAAAAUGCAUUUAAACAUUUGUGUUGUGUGUGUGUGUGUGUGUGUGUGUGUGUGUGUGUGUGCAAAUUUCAUGAAUGUUGUUUAUGGAGUUUCUGUCUUCUUAGAUUCUCAUGAGCGUAAAUAUAUAAAUUAGAGUUCAAUUAAAUGCAUUGCAUAGCAUUUAUAUCCUUCUCUGUCAGUUAGGUUUUGAAUGUAGAAUAUUUUAAU